rnacentral:pre_miRNA from 1 species
CCUUAUCACUUGUUCGUCCCGUCUGCUAUCAGAGAACUGGACGGAGAACUGAUAAGGGC